GAUGAACGCUGGCGGCGUGCCUAAUACAUGCAAGUCGAACGAACAGACGAUGAGCUUGCUCCUCUGACGUUAGCGGCGGACGGGUGAGUAACACGUGGAUAACCUACCUAUAUUUCUGGGAUAACUACGGGAAACCGGAUCUAAUACCGGAGCAUAUAUUGAACCGCAUGGUGCAAUAGUGAAAUACGGCUUUGCUGUCACUUAUAGAUGGAUCCGCGCCGCAUUAGCUAGUUGGUAAGGUAACGGCUUACCAAGGCUACGAUGCGUAGCCGAACUGAGAGGGUGAUCGGCCACACUGGAACUGAGACACGGUCCAGACUCCUACGGGAGGCAGCAGUAGGGAAUCUUGCGCAAUGGGCGAAAGCUUGACGGAGCAACGCCGCGUGAGUGAUGAAGGCCUUCGGAUCGUAAAACUCUGUUAUUAGGGAAGAACAGCUGUGUCAGUAAAUAUGGCGGUCUUGACGGUACCGAAUCAGAAAGCAACGGCUAACUACGUG
rnacentral:rRNA from 1 species